rnacentral:rRNA from 1 species
CUGGUGCCAGCAGCCGCGGUAAUUCCAGCUCCAAUAGCGUACGUUAAAGUUGCUGCAGUUAAAAAGCUCGUAGUUGAACGUUCGGGUUCCGCGGGACGGGGCCGCCCCGCGAGGGACGGCGCCGCCCCGGGGCUCGUGAUAUCUCAUCUCGCCGCCCGUCGCGAGGCGGACGGAGGGAUGGAUGAGGUUACCUGGAAAAAAUCGGGGCGAUCUAGGCGGGCGAACCUCGCCAACGAACGAUCGGACAUGGGAUAACGGAAGAGGGCGUCGGCUCGACUUCGUCGGUUCCUCGGGCCGAGGCACGUACGGUGAAUAGGGACGGUCGGGGCCGCCCGUACCGGGUCGUGAGAGGUGAAAUUCUAGGAUCGACCCGAGACGAACCGCCGCGAAAGCAUUCGGCAAGGACGCUUUCAUUAAUCAAGAACGAAAGUCGGGGGAUCGAAGACGAUCAGAUACCGUCGUAGUCCCGACCGUAAACGAUGCCGACCGAGGGCCCGGAGGAGUUACGUACGACCCUCCGGGCCCUCCCGCGAGAAAUCAGGAGUAUUCGGGUUCCGGGGGGAGUAGUGGUCGCAAGGCCGAAACUUAAGGAA